rnacentral:rRNA from 1 species
CUGUGAGCUCGAUGAGUAGGGCGGGACACGUGGUAUCCUGUCUGAAUAUGGGGGGACCAUCCUCCAAGGCUAAAUACUCCUGACUGACCGAUAGUGAACCAGUACCGUGAGGGAAAGGCGAAAAGAACCCCGGCGAGGGGAGUGAAAAAGAACCUGAAACCGUGUACGUACAAGCAGUGGGAGCACAGAGCAAUCUGUGUGACUGCGUACCUUUUGUAUAAUGGGUCAGCGACUUAUAUUCUGUAGCAAGGUUAACCGAAUAGGGGAGCCGAAGGGAAACCGAGUCUUAACUGGGCGUUAAGUUGCAGGGUAUAGACCCGAAACCCGGUGAUCUAGCCAUGGGCAGGUUGAAGGUUGGGUAACACUAACUGGAGGACCGAACCGACUAAUGUUGAAAAAUUAGCGGAUGACUUGUGGCUGGGGGUGAAAGGCCAAUCAAACCGGGAGAUAGCUGGUUCUCCCCGAAAGCUAUUUAGGUAGCGCCUCGUGAAUUCAUCUCCGGGGGUAGAGCACUGUUUCGGCAAGGGGGUCAUCCCGACUUACCAACCCGAUGCAAACUGCGAAUACCGGAGAAUGUUAUCACGGGAGACACACGGCGGGUGCUAACGUCCGUCGUGAAGAGGGAAACAACCCAGACCGCCAGCUAAGGUCCCAAAGUCAUGGUUAAGUGGGAAACGAUGUGGGAAGGCCCAGACAGCCAGGAUGUUGGCUUAGAAGCAGCCAUCAUUUAAAGAAAGCGUAAUAGCUCACUGGUCGAGUCGGCCUGCGCGGAAGAUGUAACGGGGCUAAACCAUGCACCGAAGCUGCGGCUGCGACGCUUAUGCGUUGUUGGGUAGGGGAGCGUUCUGUAAGCCUGCGAAGGUGUGCUGUGAGGCAUGCUGGAGGUAUCAGAAGUGCGAAUGCUGACAUAAGUAACGAUAAAGCGGGUGAAAAGCCCGCUCGCCGGAAGACCAAGGGUUCCUGUCCAACGUUAAUCGGGGCAGGGUGAGUCGACCCCUAAGGCGAGGCCGAAAGGCGUAGUCGAUGGGAAACAGGUUAAUAUUCCUGUACUUGGUGUUACUGCGAAGGGGGGACGGAGAAGGCUAUGUUGGCCGGGCGACGGUUGUCCCGGUUUAAGCGUGUAGGCUGGUUUUCCAGGCAAAUCCGGAAAAUCAAGGCUGAGGCGUGAUGACGAGGCACUACGGUGCUGAAGCAACAAAUGCCCUGCUUCCAGGAAAAGCCUCUAAGCAUCAGGUAACAUCAAAUCGUACCCCAAACCGACACAGGUGGUCAGGUAGAGAAUACCAAGGCGCUUGAGAGAACUCGGGUGAAGGAACUAGGCAAAAUGGUGCCGUAACUUCGGGAGAAGGCACGCUGAUAUGUAGGUGAAGUCCCUCGCGGAUGGAGCUGAAAUCAGUCGAAGAUACCAGCUGGCUGCAACUGUUUAUUAAAAACACAGCACUGUGCAAACACGAAAGUGGACGUAUACGGUGUGACGCCUGCCCGGUGCCGGAAGGUUAAUUGAUGGGGUCAGCGCAAGCGAAGCUCUUGAUCGAAGCCCCGGUAAACGGCGGCCGUAACUAUAACGGUCCUAAGGUAGCGAAAUUCCUUGUCGGGUAAGUUCCGACCUGCACGAAUGGCGUAAUGAUGGCCAGGCUGUCUCCACCCGAGACUCAGUGAAAUUGAACUCGCUGUGAAGAUGCAGUGUACCCGCGGCAAGACGGAAAGACCCCGUGAACCUUUACUAUAGCUUGACACUGAACAUUGAGCCUUGAUGUGUAGGAUAGGUGGGAGGCUUGGAAGUGUGGACGCCAGUCUGCAUGGAGCCGACCUUGAAAUACCACCCUUUAAUGUUUGAUGUUCUAACGUUGACCCGUAAUCCGGGUUGCGGACAGUGUCUGGUGGGUAGUUUGACUGGGGCGGUCUCCUCCUAAAGAGUAACGGAGGAGCACGAAGGUUGGCUAAUCCUGGUCGGACAUCAGGAGGUUAGUGCAAUGGCAUAAGCCAGCUUGACUGCGAGCGUGACGGCGCGAGCAGGUGCGAAAGCAGGUCAUAGUGAUCCGGUGGUUCUGAAUGGAAGGGCCAUCGCUCAACGGAUAAAAGGUACUCCGGGGAUAACAGGCUGAUACCGCCCAAGAGUUCAUAUCGACGGCGGUGUUUGGCACCUCGAUGUCGGCUCAUCACAUCCUGGGGCUGAAGUAGGUCCCAAGGGUAUGGCUGUUCGCCAUUUAAAGUGGUACGCGAGCUGGGUUUAGAACGUCGUGAGACAGUUCGGUCCCUAUCUGCCGUGGGCGCUGGAGAACUGAGGGGGGCUGCUCCUAGUACGAGAGGACCGGAGUGGACGCAUCACUGGUGUUCGGGUUGUCAUGCCAAUGGCACUGCCCGGUAGCUAAAUGCGGAAGAGAUAAGUGCUGAAAGCAUCUAAGCACGAAACUUGCCCCGAGAUGAGUUCUCCCUGACUCCUUGAGAGUCCUGAAGGAACGUUGAAGACGACGACGUUGAUAGGCCGGGUGUGUAAGCGCAGCGAUGCGUUGAGCUAACCGGUACUAAUGAACCGUGAGGCUUAACCUU